rnacentral:rRNA from 1 species
AUUGAACGCUGGCGGCAUGCCUUACACAUGCAAGUCGAACGGCAGCGGACCUUCGGGUGCCGGCGAGUGGCGAACGGGUGAGUAAUGCAUCGGAACGUGCCAUUGAGUGGGGGAUAACGUAGCGAAAGUUACGCUAAUACCGCAUAUUCUGUGAGCAGGAAAGCAGGGGACCGCAAGGCCUUGCGCUCUUUGAGCGGCCGAUGUCAGAUUAGCUAGUUGGUGAGGUAAAGGCUUACCAAGGCGACGAUCUGUAGCGGGUCUGAGAGGAUGAUCCGCCACACUGGAACUGAGACACGGUCCAGACUCCUACGGGAGGCAGCAGUGGGGAAUUUUGGACAAUGGGCGCAAGCCUGAUCCAGCCAUGCCGCGUGAGUGAAGAAGGCCUCGG